AUGCAAGACCAGGUCGGCAUGGGCAGCACCUUCCUGCUCAACCUCAAAUUCCAAAAGGACUAUGGCCUUGAGGAAGAGGAUGAAGUGAACAUCGACAGAGAACCUUUGUUUGAGGACGAGCUCGCCAACCAAGCCGACGCAAACAAGAAGCGCAAAAGCAAGCAGACGAAGGCAUACACGCAGUCGGAGGACAAACUCCUUUGUGAGUGUUGGAGGGACAUUGGACAAGACCCCAAGGUCGGUGCCGAGCAAAAGGCAUCUACCUUUUGGCUUCGUGUUCAUCAUGAGUACUAUGAAUGCGAGAAGUUCGCGUCGUACCAAAUGGAGACCAAGCGUGGGUGGGUGUCGCUCUCGAAACGAUGGAGGGUGAUACAACAAGAGUGGAACAAGUUUUGUGCAACCCUUGAGAGCAUCCAAGCACGUCCCGUGAGCGGCCUCAGCCUCAAAGAUAUGGUAUACGUGCGCCCCUCUUCGUAUCUGUUUUCCGUUGUGCUUGCAUGCACAUUUGCCCAUAUGGUUGCAUGCUAUUCAACAUUUUAA
rnacentral:rRNA from 1 species